AUCUUUCUUCUCUUUUAUGUUUUGUCCCCUCUUUUACAGAAACAUGAUUUUUUAUUUUUAUUUUGAAUUCUCAUGGCUAAAAUGUUAUUGCAAGAUGAUUUGAAAGCACAAAAAGUAAACAUAAACAAGAUAAGAAAGAUGCACAAAAUAGUGCAAGACAGGUGCAGGGAAAGUAACAAAGCCUUUCCAACAACACUAUACAAACUGGAUUAAGCAGUAUAGAAAUUGAAGUUUAGUCCCAUUUUUCCUGAUCUUUGGACACUCUAGUCCUCCCUUCUAAAGACCGGUACUAGGAGAUCCAAAUUUACACAAUUUAAUCCUUUAACGAACGAUUCAAUCCAAAAAUGAUUAUUUUUGUGGCAAAAAUACCCAUCAGUGUUACUUCUCAAAAUUCAGUUUAUGUCUCUUCAUUUCCAUUGUUGCAACUUGCAACUCCCUCUCUCAGCGAAGAACAAAUUCUAAAACCUGAUCUCGACAUAUUUAGCUUCCAAAUAUAAAUAUGAAAAUUAAACAAACACUUGAUUCAAUUCAGUAAUAAGUCUAUAUCGUCAUCGUCGGUACUUUUUUCCUGAAGAUUCACUUGAAAUUGGGAAGAAAAGUUGAUGAGAUUUAAUUUCAUCAAAUUAAUUUGAGGAUUUCAUCAUUAAAAUCGAUUUGAAAGGUACUUCAAGUUUAUUAGUUCCUUUACAAAGAGAAUAAUUACCUAUAUAUAAUCUGUAUAAUCUGGGGAGGUCUCGACUCCAGAGACUGUAAUAGGGAGUAAUUUCGAAUAUCGUGCCAAAAGAGCAUCAGUAGCUGCUCGUUUGAUUCAUAAGUAUAUUCGUGGUUGGAUAAUACGGCGUUCAUAUUUGCAGCUUGUUGGGUUGUUCUUCUUAUAGAAUCCAGCAUCUGUAGUUUGUCUACUUGUAACUAUUUGCUACACAAAAGGAACAUAAAGUUGCUUCGCGAAUCCAGGUUGCUCUUGAGAGGAAUAAAAAAUGAGAGAAAAUGCUCCUGAAAGACUAGUAUCGGGGUCUGAUGAUAUCACCAUGUUGCUUUGGGAAAUUGCUGUCAUCAAACAUUUCUUGGCCUACUUAUUGAGAGAAAAUUCAUAAAAGCUAAUGGAAGUUGAUUUUUUCUGUACAGCUUCACUGUCUUUUUAGCUUUGUCCCACUAUGUUCCUGAUGCAAUCUACUGGCUCAAGAUGGACUAUGAAAUUAUAUUCAAGUAUUUUUUCGUCAUGUGAAACCCCGCCAAUUUAUAGUACUACACUAUUUUGCAGGUUCAUUGCUUGUUCUGCUAGGUAUGGUCUUAUAUAUUAUACUCAAUUAUCAACAGGUAACUCGGAGUACUUAAUCAAAAUUUUGAGUGGUCAAUUCGUUUUAUGCGUAUCAAUUUAUCAACAUUUGUGCUCCUAUAUAUGACUUACUUCAUUCCAAUCAAGAUAAUUUUGAAACCUCCAGGUUUCAAAGAUAAUAUGCUAUUACUUAUCUCCUUGAUGGUCUAGGGGCUGGGGAACUUGGAAUAAGGUUUUCCUAGUGGUUGGUAUUAUUUGUUUUUAUAUUAUUAUAUUUCAAGUUGCUUGUUGAUUGAUGGUUGAUGGAAACAUGGAAAGAUAGUAUCAUUUAGGUAUAUCUGUUUUGGAGGUACAUAUGUGUAUAACAUGUGUACAUAGUUGUACACAUGUUGAUUUUUAAUGUGUACAUAAUUAUACACAUUGAUUUUCAAUGUGUACAUCGUUUUACACCUUUUCAACGUUAUGUACCUUGUUCUAAUAGGGAUAUUGUCACCAACCCACUCUUUUAUUCAUUUUACAGUAAUAUAAUUGAAAUAACAUAUAAAGAGGUUGGUUUGGCUUGCUGGUUUGCAUCCAUGAGAUCUAAACAAUAAUGUAUAAUAGCCUACUAAUGUCGGCGUCUGCAAUAUCUUCUUUGAUCGUCAUUCUAUCUACUGUUGUACUUUGGAUAGUUUCUGUAUUCACUUACUUGCUGCCGUUGUUACAGUUUAAUUGGGGGGUGAAGACUUGCUUAGAAAUGUGUAGUAGCUGGUGUUCGUUGAAUUGCGGUCUUCAUUGAUGUACUUAUACAGAGUCAAACAAACAUGGGUGAGAAGGAAAAUAGCGGACGCAGGUUAGUAAAGUUCAAUUAUUCAUUUCUAAAUGUUGGAUUUUUUUCUUGAGCCACUAUUGGUGUUUGGAAAGCUGCUCUUCUUAUCAUUGGUAUGCAUGCAUUUCUUUAGAAUUAUUACACACAAAAUACAAUAUGGUCCAACAUGUUUAAAAUACAAAGUUUGAGGGAAUAAACUGAAGUUACACACUGUUACAGAUAAUCAAUAUAGUUUUGAGGUUGCGGAUACCAUAUGCUCAAUGUGACGUCUUUAUGAUAAGUUUUAUGUUGAGAGUAUAUUUUCAUUUUGCAUAGAUUUCGGGUUGUUGUUGCUCUCAGUUUUGCACCAUAGAGUUAGUUUGAUAUGUGUGCAACUUGUGAUAUAGAAGAGUCCAUAAGCUUAUGUUUGCGCAGAUGACUAGGGUGUACAAACUGGUACACAUGUAAAACUAGGGUGUACAAACUGGUACACAUGUGGGGAAAAAUGACUAUUAGCUUAUCUUAGGGUAAAUAAAUUGGGUGUACAAACUGGUACACAUGUAUGAGAAUUAACUCCAUAAGCUUAUGCAUCAAUAACUAGGGUGUGCGUAUGAUAAAAAAUGACUCCAUGCCAUAAGCUAAUGUUACGUAAAUAACUAUGUAAAAAAUUCACUCCGUAAGCUUAUGCUUGCAUAAAACUAGGGUGUACAAGCUACUCCUACUGCUUGUAAAUCCAAUGAUUCUGAGAGUAGAGCCACUGAUGUUGGUGGAUUUUCUAUAACUAACAAUUUUUUAACUUUGUGGAAUCCAAUUCCAUCUGGAUCAUGUAUCCAAGGUAUUCUAAGUUUGUCAUGUGACGAAAGUAUUAUGAGUUCUUUUCAUGUGAGUUCAGUUUCCUACAAAAUACAUUCCUCCUCAACUUUUAAAGCAGAAUUUCUCAUUUUGUAUUUCUUGUCAUGACCACAUAAACCACUGUUUAAAAUUUGCUGCUCCUAUGUAAUAAAUAAAUGGGAGACUUGAAAUAUUCAUACUGAUGUGUAAAACUAUGCAUAUAAUGUUUAUCAUUCAACACUAUGGAUUUUCCUUUGUUUGUUUACUUGUCUUCUUCCAUUUGUAUCCCAUUUGUUCGGAACCCCUCUUUUUUUUUCUUCCUAUGUCAGAUUGAGUUGCGCAGAAGAUGGAUAGCGCUGAUGACGUUUUGGCACAUUUGUUUGGAACCCCUCAUGGAUAUAUUGCCUGUUAUGUGGGUCUGGAUGUCCGAGUUUUUUGAUUUUUAUAGUGGUUUACAUAGUUGUACACAACAAUGUAAAUUAAAAUUCAAAAAAAAAAAUGAAAAUUAUAUAGUCAUAUGGGUACCCUUUUUGUAGAUAUUGGAAAGAGAUUUCCGAAUAUAUAAAGUUUGUGAAUUUUAGACGAGCGGUUCGAAAGAUAUACUGUUUUUUAAUUAUUUAUAUAUUAUUUAAAGUUGUUGACGUCAUCGUGAGUCACUGU